AAGCUUCUCUCUGCUGGACUGGAGAGUCCAAACUGCAGACUGGAAACUCUCAGCUUGUCAGGCUGUCUGGUCUCAGAGGAAGGCUGUGCUUCAAUGAUCUCUGCUCUGAGCUCCAACCCCUCCUAUCUGAAAGAGUUGGACCUGAGCUACAAUCAUCCAGGAGACUCAGGAGUGAAGCUGCUGUCGGCUGGACUGAAGGAUCCACGCUGGAGACUGGAAGCUCUCAGGGUGGAGCCUGCUGGAGUCCGAUGGUUGACACCAGGUCCAUGGAGGUGUAAGUG